AUUGAACGCUGGCGGCAUGCUUUACACAUGCAAGUCGAACGGCAGCGCGGGCUUCGGCCUGGCGGCGAGUGGCGAACGGGUGAGUAAUGCAUCGGAACGUGCCCAGUAGUGGGGGAUAGCCCGGCGAAAGCCGGAUUAAUACCGCAUACGACCUGAGGGUGAAAGCGGGGGACCGAAAGGCCUCGCGCUAUUGGAGCGGCCGAUGUCGGAUUAGCUAGUUGGUGGGGUAAAGGCUUACAAAGGCGACGAUCCGUAGCUGGUCUGAGAGGACGACCAGCCACACUGGGAGUGAGACACGGCCCAGACUGCUACGGGAGGCAGCAGUGGGGAAUUUUGGACAAUGGGGGCAACCCUGAUCCAGCCAUGCCGCGUGCGGGAAGAAGGCCUUCGGGUUGUAAACCGCUUUUGUUCGGGAAGAAAUCCUCUGGGCUAAUACCCCGGGGGGAUGACGGUACCGGAAGAAUACGCACCGGCUAACUACG
rnacentral:rRNA from 1 species